CGCUGGCGGCGUGCCUAAUACAUGCAAGUCGAACGCACUCUCGUUAGAUUGAAGAAGCUUGCUUCUGAUUGAUAACAUUUGAGUGAGUGGCGGACGGGUGAGUAACACGUGGGUAACCUGCCCUAAAGUGGGGGAUAACAUUUGGAAACAGAUGCUAAUACCGCAUAAAACCUAGCACCGCAUGGUGCAAGGUUGAAAGAUGGUUUCGGCUAUCACUUUAGGAUGGACCCGCGGUGCAUUAGUUAGUUGGUGAGGUAAAGGCUCACCAAGACCGUGAUGCAUAGCCGACCUGAGAGGGUAAUCGGCCACACUGGGACUGAGACACGGCCCAGACUCCUACGGGAGGCAGCAGUAGGGAAUCUUCCACAAUGGACAAAAGUCUGAUGGAGCAACGCCGCGUGAGUGAAGAAGGUUUUCGGAUCGUAAAACUCUGUUGUUGGAGAAGAACGUAUUUGAUAGUAACUGAUCAGGUAGUGACGGUAUCCAACCAGAAAGCCACGGCUAACUACGUG
rnacentral:rRNA from 1 species